rnacentral:rRNA from 1 species
AACGCGAAGAACCUUACCUGGGCUCGAAAUGUACAGGACAGCGGUAGAAAUACCGUCUCCCAGCAAUGGGUCUGUAUAUAGGUGCUGCAUGGCUGUCGUCAGCUCGUGUCGUGAGAUGUUGGGUUAAGUCCCGCAACGAGCGCAACCCUUACCUCUAGUUGCCACCACGCAAGUGGGGAACUCUAGCGGAACCGCCUCGGAUAACGGGGAGGAAGGUGGGGAUGACGUCAAGUCCUCAUGGCCUUUAUGUCCAGGGCUACACACGUGCUACAAUGGCCGGUACAAACCGCUGCAACCCCGCGAGGGUGAGCUAAUCGGAAAAAGCCGGCCUCAGUUCGGAUUGGAGUCUGCAACUCGACUCCAUGAAGCUGGAAUCGCUAGUAAUCGUGGAUCAGCAUGCCACGGUGAAUACGUUCCCGGGCCUUGUA